UCCUCCACCACCUGAGAGUGAGACAUCCCUAAAACAAUAAGAGUGAGAGAGUAAAACAGAUUGAGGCAGCAGCGGCAGCGGCUGUACCAAAUCGGAGUGUUCUACCAGUGCAUCACCAUAGCUCCAUUGGUGGCUAGGUCUCAUUGGCGCCAUGAUAGGCGCUCGGGCCGCGAUUCAUGCACCGUCCACCAGCGAGGCCACAUCUCAGUCGAUCCCCACCAGGACCAGGCUCCCCCUCCACAUGCACCACCUCUUCCGAUUAGCUGUCGGCCGAUGUCGCUUCUAGCCGUCACGAAUCUAACCCCAAGGCCCAAGCUAUCCCGCUCUACUUCUCCCAUCGUGUUCUUCGCGGUGUCCAGGGUGCAGAUCCUCGCCGACCUCGUGAGUCCGGCGGGCAAUUGAGGAAGAAAUAGGAGUUGCCGCCUUCCUUACUGUAGCUGCUGGCACACCUCUGCUAAUAUGUAGGCGAGUUGUGUGUUUCCUCAUUGCUGGUGCUGUAGGACCACUACCAUUGUAAAUUUUAUGUGCUACGUACAACUUUGCACCAUUCCUUCAUCAACAACGGCUGAUCCUUUGACAUGUCUUAUAGUCUUGUUUUCCUUCAAAAGCGGCGACAUCAUAAAGAAGUCUCAUGCAUUACCUGAUUUGUCUACCUUCCGCACCUCAUUCUAGUGAGAGGCAACUCAAAAGGGUGGUUGUCCGUCAAGCAUCGAGAUGUCCAGCAUGUUGCAGUUUUCACCGAUAUUGUUGUGUCGUAGAAUCAGUAGACUUCGAUUGGUCAAGGAGAAGAUUGGGCUGGCUUCGAUUUAUGGAUGUGUUCGGCUGGGUGUAUUUUUGUAUUUUUAUGUAUGCAUGUCUUGGCAGAGUACGUGUGUGCUAGUUGUGUCCGGCUGGUCUUUUUAUGCGUGCUUGAGCUGGCCAAAUACUUUUGGAGUAUUUUUUGUUGAGUCCAUGGUCAACACGUCUGGACUUCUUUUGGUUGCGUUGGAGAUUUGGAAGCGGGUGCAUGUUGAUUCCAUGCUCAACACGUCUGGAGUUCUUUUGGUUGAUCUGGGUGCACGUGACAUUUUAUAUAUGGUUAAUCGUGUCUUGGUGUCUUACUU